ACCGACACGAAAGGAAAUGCGGACGAUACGGGUGUAACCUGCGCCACACGAGCUAUCAACCCUCGUGGAUUUGAUCCUUUCCACCUGAAACAGUUACAACGCACACGAAAACAUCGAACACUGCACAUCUGUACCUCCGAUAUCGUGUCAACAAUUCCUGAGGCAACAAUUCAUGUUCACGACAUCAGAAAGUUAUCUAAAACUAAGUGACGGCGUAGGAAAAGUAGGCAGCAUCGCUAAACGUCAUGGAUUGGCUUCGAGACAGCUUCGAGACAGCCCAAACCGUUCAAAUCAGGCCACAGCGACGGCUUGAUAAGGAUAACCGAAGCUGAUCUCGAAGGCCAUGCUUAUGCUGGCUGCAGAUGGCGGAAGCAAUUCAAAGGUAAAAUACGUUUUAGAAUUUCUUUCUACGCCAAACUAUAGUGUUAAAUAUAGAUUGUUCUACAGUUAUUUUGUCUCACAACAUCUAUACGUAGUUGUGUGUAACCCGGCACAAAAUUUUAGUAUGCGAGUGUACUGGUUAAUAUUUUUGUCAUCACAGAGGCCACAACAUUCUCACAAGUAUGCAGGUGGCGCUAUUGUUUUUCCUCCGUGUUCUGUGAUGGCGGUCGUAUGUGCGGGGUGCUACGAGCGUCGCGUUUGCUUGAUCGUGUGUUUUUGUGUUUGCUGUUAUGAAGUAGGUCGCAGUUAGCGUGCACAGAAGUGCCUGAAGAUACCUUGUGUCACGCUGCAAACUCGCCGUAUGCGUGGCGCGCCAGGCAAAUGUGGCCCAACGAUUUUAUGCCGUGGAGUGCGGUUUCUUUGUUCUCGUUCUGGAAAGUUGGGUGGACGUCGCAAAGAAUGUGUGUUAGCGCGCCUCAGCUCGUCCACUACGCAGCGGCAUGUAUGCGGGGAGUAACAUCGUCGACGCAGCACCGGCAACUUGGAGAGUGCUUCGCGACCGCGUCGUACCAUUCAAAAGGUAAGUAAUCGUGCUGGCUAACUACGCGCGUGUUGUGUGAGCUUCUCGUGUGUGCAUAGCGUGCGCGAGCGUAUGAAAUAGAAGUCCCGCGACAACAGUGAUACCUGUGCUGAUGCUUGCUGAACGCUGGUUGUCAGCGCUUAGUUACGCAAGUUUAUUGCUUCGAUGCGAAAUUGAAAAUCUUGAUAAACGUUUUCUUCCGAUGAGAAAUAUAACGUUCGAAAAUAAUCGUGUUCAUCAUGUGCGUGCGGCGCGUGAGCUCCCGCUUUUCUCCUGAAGUUGCAUAAUGACUCAUUUGCCUCUUUACCGAUUCUUAUUGCAAUGACGUUUCCUUGCUUACAUGGCAAGGAAACUUGUUUCAUAUCUACUUGUCCAAGGAAACUUGUUUCAUAUCUACUUGUCCAAGGAAACUUGUUUCCUUGCCAUGUUUCCUUGCCUCAACGUUGUAAAUAAUAUCUGCUUACGAAGUUUUCGGUUUACGGCAGCUUUAGAGAAAAAAAAUUUAAGCAAUCACAGCUUGCUACUAGUCCAACUUACUUUUUAAGACAAGAUGUUUUGACAUACCUUAUAUGUAACUAAACAUGACAGGGGAAAGUUAAACUGAGUCAUGAAAAAAAAAAUUAAUUGUUUUGUAAACAAACAUUUCUUUGCUAUGUGCUGCUGCGUGUCAAUAAUUUUACUGUGAUCAAAGGGUCCCCAUUAUCAAGACAUUCAUCAGUGACUUCUACUUUGUGCUCUGUUGCCACCCUGCAAUAAUGCAAACAUUGUUUUUGUGACUAUAUUUAGAUGCUCCAUGCAUGUCUAGACAAUUUGACAGCUUUAUAAAGCUGUGUGCCACUGCUAUAAGUUAACACAGAACUUAUUUUAUAGUGGCGAGGCUGUGACCCAUAACAGUGCCUACAUAACGGAGGAGCCACCAGACCCCUUGGCUAUGCCUGCCGUAGUGCAACGUAUAAUCUGGAUGGUCGGGUCAGGUAUGUAUGUAGUGUACACCUAGGAAAUGUUGUAUACAUUGGCAACGAUAACUGGGGCCUGCUCCAGUGCCAUCGCCGGGAUUCCCUCUUCUGCAAAGAACUGACAUAACUGAUGUGGGGAGCCCUGGCGCUCGGUGUAGGAGUAUCACAAGGGCUCCUUGUCGGUGCUUGAAGGACGGCAAUGCUGUUGAGAAGCCGACAUUGAGCCCCGAUAAAUUGGAAGCUGUGGGUAGUUACCGCAUUAUUGACUUGGAAACCAGUGAGGUCUGGAUGCAAGUGAAGCUACCGAGGGAGGCAUGUGUGCAUCACUUGUGCUGCUGGCCAUCCUCUGCAAAAGUGAUGGCUGGCAGUCAGUGCUUGGAUGACUUUCUGUUACUCUACGCCUUGGGCUGUGUUGACUACUUCACACUUGCUGCCAUGUCUGCAAGCUUAGGCAAAAAGACCGGCUGGAUGCUUGGCAGGAGAUAGUAUCCAACCGCAGUGUUACUGUGUUGUGUUGUACAUUACAAAGUGAUGGAGGACAGUAUUUGUGCUGUUAUUAAGAAGUAUAAAUUGUGUUCUGCCGUUGAAAUAAGGGAACUCGACACAAAGCAAAAGAUUUCGAAGUCUGACCUACAUGGGAAAGCAAAAUAUAUUGUGUUGUAGUUGUAGCUGUUAGUAGAGUCUUAAUAUGCGAUAGAAGACCUUGAUGUUUAAUAGAAAAUAUAUUUAAGUGUGUUAUGAGUGUGUUAUCAGUGUUUAAGUUACUGUUAUGUGUCAUUUGUUUGCCAGGACGAUGUAAGCAGACAGUAAAUAAAUGCAUGGUUUGAGAUUAUAACCAGGUUUGUCUAUGGCAUUCACUAUUAUUUAAGGUGGACCAAUGCAUAUUCAUGGGUGCAUAUUCAACCACCACAUUCCUCCUGCACAAACAAUUCCUACAUACUAGCGUUUGGUCUUAGCAGCUGAUGUUGGCUAUUAUACAAUUUCUUGAAAGCACAUGCAGCUACCGACACAUGAUUUUUAGAGCAGUAAGUCGGAAGCAAAGACUGAUUUUUUUCUGUGGUCUAAGCUUAAAUGAUAUGUUUAAGGAAAUGAACAUUUGUGGAAUAUAUUUACUUUCCUGCUGCGAGAACCUUUAUACGAGAACCUCUGCACAUUGGACGUGCAUGCUGCUUCUCUUGC